rnacentral:rRNA from 1 species
ACGAACGCUGGCGGCGUGCUUAACACAUGCAAGUCGAGCGGUAAGGCCUCUUCGGGGGUACACGAGCGGCGAACGGGUGAGUAACACGUGGGUGACCUGCCCUUCACUCUGGGAUAAGCCUGGGAAACUGGGUCUAAUACCGGAUAUGACCUUCUCUCGCAUGGGGGUUGGUGGAAAGUUUUUUCGGUGAGGGAUGGGCCCGCGGCCUAUCAGCUUGUUGGUGGGGUGAUGGCCUACCAAGGCGACGACGGGUAGCCGGCCUGAGAGGGCGACCGGCCACACUGGGACUGAGAUACGGCCCAGACUCCUACGGGAGGCAGCAGUGGGGAAUAUUGCGCAAUGGGCGGAAGCCUGACGCAGCGACGCCGCGUGGGGGAUGACGGCCUUCGGGUUGUAAACCUCUUUCGCCAGGGACGAAGCGUGAGUGACGGUACCUGGAUAAGAAGCACCGGCCAACUACGUGCCAGCCGCCGCCGAGUAAGAC